UGUGGGAGCUGGCUCGCCAGCGAUGCAAACACCUCGGUUUGUCAGGCAGACCAAGGUGAUGCUAUCGCUGGCGAGCCAGCUCCCACA
rnacentral:antisense_RNA from 1 species